UACGUAGGUCCCGAGCGUUAUCCGGAUUUAUUGGGUUUAAAGGGUGCGUAGGCGGUUUGAUAAGUUAGAGGUGAAAUGUCGGGGCUCAACCCCGAAACUGCCUCUAAUACUGUUGGACUAGAGAAUAGUUGCGGUAGGCGGAACGUAUGGUGUAGCGGUGAAAUGCUUAGAGAUCAUACAGAACACCGAUUGCGAAGGCAGCUUACCAAACUAUAUCUGACGUUGAGGCACGAAAGCGUGGGUAGCAAACAGG
rnacentral:rRNA from 1 species